UACAGAGGGGGCAAGCGUUGUUCGGAAUUACUGGGCGUAAAGGGCGCGUAGGCGGCCUGUUAAGUCGAACGUGAAAUCCCCGGGCUCAACCCGGGAACUGCGUCCGAUACUGGCAGGCUUGAAUCCGGGAGAGGGAUGUGGAAUUCCAGGUGUAGCGGUGAAAUGCGUAGAUAUCUGGAGGAACACCGGUGGCGAAGGCGGCUUCCUGGUCUGCAACUGACGCUGUGGCGCGAAAGCUAGGGGAGCAAACGGG
rnacentral:rRNA from 1 species